UAAACGGCCGCGGUAUUCUGACCGUGCAAAGGUAGCAUAAUCAUUUGUUCUCUAAAUAAGGACUUGUAUGAAUGGCCACACGAGGGUUUUACUGUCUCUUACUUCCAAUCAGUGAAAUUGACCUCCCCGUGAAGAGGCGGGGAUAAAUCAACGAGACGAGAAGACCCUAUGGAGCUUUAACUAAGUAACCCAAGGAAAAUAAAUUCAACCACCAAGGGAUAACAACACUCCUUAUGAGUUAACAGUUUCGGUUGGGGUGACCUCGGAGAACAGAAAAUCCUCCGAGCGAUUUUAAGGACUAGACUAACAAGUCAAACCAAAUCAUCGCUUAUUGAUCCAAAAACUUGAUCAACGGAACAAAUUACCCUAGGGAUAACAGCGCAAUCCUAUUCAAGAGUCCAUAUCGACAAUAGGGUUUACGACCUCGAUGUUGGAUCAGGACACCCCGAUGGUGCAACCGCUAUCAAAGGUUCGUUUGUUCAACGAUUAAAGUCCUACGUGAUCUGAGUUCAGACCGGAGUAAUCCAGGUCGGUUU
rnacentral:rRNA from 1 species